rnacentral:rRNA from 1 species
AUUGAACGCUGGCGGCAUGCCUUACACAUGCAAGUCGAACGGCAGCACGGGAGCAAUCCUGGUGGCGAGUGGCGAACGGGUGAGUAAUAUAUCGGAACGUGCCCGGUCGUGGGGGAUAACGUAGCGAAAGCUACGCUAAUACCGCAUACGAUCUACGGAUGAAAGCGGGGGAUCGCAAGACCUCGCGCGAUUGGAGCGGCCGAUAUCGGAUUAGGUAGUUGGUGAGGUAAAGGCUCACCAAGCCGACGAUCUGUAGCUGGUCUGAGAGGACGACCAGCCACACUGGGACUGAGACACGGCCCAGACUCCUACGGGAGGCAGCAGUGGGGGAAUUUUUGGACAAUGGGCGCAAGCCUGAUCCAGCAAUGCCGCGUGCAGGAUGAAGGCCUUC